GAUGAACGCUAGCUACAGGCUUAACACAUGCAAGUCGAGGGACCGGCGCACGGGUGAGUCACACGUAUCCAACCUGCCCUUUACUCGGGGCUAGCCUUUCGAAAGACAGAUUAAUACCCGAUGUAACGGAUGGGGAUGCGUUCCAUUAGGUUGUUGGUGAGGUAACGGCUCACCAAGCCUUCGAUGGAUAGGGGUUCUGAGAGGAAGGUCCCCCACAUUGGAAAUGAGACACGGUCCAAACUCCUACGGGAGGCAGCAGUGAGGAAUAUUGGGCAAGGGGCGUUAGCCUGAACCAGCCAAGGAGCGUGAAGGAUGAAGGCUUAUGGGUCGUAAACUUCUUUUAUAUAAGAAUAUGUAUUAUAUGAAUAAGGAUCGGCUAACUCCGUGCCAGCAGCCGCGGUAAUAC
rnacentral:rRNA from 1 species